UUCGCGCGUGUGUAUGUGAGGGAGAAGUGGGCAAAGGCUCCGCCUCACUAAAAAAGCGAGAGAAAAAAAGGAAAAGCAAACUGAUACACACCUCUCAAUUCUGGCAGGAGGAAAAGAAUAGGAGUGUUUAUGAACCGUAUAAGUAAACAGCAGGAUAACCAGACACACCGAGAGCCGACGCUACUUCCCCCCCGUAAAAACCGACACAGGCACCGUUUCCCAGCGCCGGAGAUUGUCCCGUUGCGGUCAGGAUUAAGUUUUUAUGUCAUCUAAAGGUGGAUCAUUAUCUAAAUCCGAGAUAACAAGCGAAUUUGAAAUGCGUAGCCUGCGAUUCUAUUUCUGGAGCCCCCAAAGCCGACGUUUGAACUCUCAGUAAACAUCCAGUCGAGAUAUUCCCUGGUGGCUGGCGGAGUUGGUGUACUGUGAUUACGAUGAUUUGUGCUUGUAGAGAGCACUGUUGUACAUGGCUGAUCUGCUGUACAACAUGCUUGUGUAGGGACUCAUUUGUGUUUCUCUGCCGUAUUAUAACACGCUGGAAAGUGAAGAGGCAAGCUGGGGGAGCAAGUGCACCGAUGCAGGAAUAGAUGAUGGUUUUUUGAAAGCAUAGGUGCUGUCUCUCACUUCCGCUCACCACUUGCUCAUUUGGCAUGUGGUGUUUUUCUUUGGACACAGAAUGCAUGUUAUGUUUAUUUUGUGAGACUGUCUUGCAUUGUUGCAAUGCCCUAUUGUUUGUUGACAUUAUUACUUUAUAAAGAGGAAGAGCACAACAACAGAAUAAAAUGUGAAUCAUG